CUUUAAUUAUCUUGAAAACAAAAGGACUGAUCCAUCAUGAUCAUGAUCAUUCUUUUUAUAAAUCUCCAAUGUUAAUUUGGAUUCCAGGAAUAUAUAAAGGAUAGAAUUCCCCUUGACAGAGCAGAGAUGCUUUAGGAGUAGGUGGCAAACAAUCUUUUGCUCCUUUGAGUGUAUAAAAGUUAAAAUCACGAGAAAAAUUCACCUUUGGGGAGAACAUUCCAUAAUCACGCCGACUACUACGAGAACCGGAG